UACCUAAAAAUGAUGAGCAAACCUCUUGGACCUAAAAAUAUAACCACAGUAUGACCUGAAGUAGAUGACUUAAAAGCCCAGUAACUUCCUCCAUCUUCUGUCACAGGGAAAGAAAUCUGACUUCAAACCGGGGUGAAGGGGUCUCCAGCCCCAGAAUGCAGUCCAGGUCAAGCUGUGGUCACAAAAUCUUUGCACAGAAGAAAAGAAGAAAGCCAGUUGUUAUUGUGAAGGAAAAACUUACACACAUCUUUGACUCAAACCAGAGGAAAGCUUGAAGAACUCCAUCUGACAUUUCUUAUAAGACCUGUCUAGCAGUGAUGAACUUCUUCAACUUUUGUUUAUAGGGAAAACACCUUACCUUUCUUCAUUUCUGAAGGACAAGUUUGUCAGGUGAUGACCUCACUUCCAAGCAUCCUUUUACUCCUAAACAAUCUGGUCAUGAAACUGGAGGCAAGCUGCCGUAUCAUCACCAUCUCUAAGCGGCCAUGACACUUUGGUUCCUCACCUCCAGAUCCACAUCUUCAACAUUCCACCACCCAGGAAGUCCUUUUGGGUUUUGCAUGAGGUACCCUAAUAAAUUACACUCUAACAAACCUCUAA